rnacentral:rRNA from 1 species
CAGGACGAACGCUGGCGGCGUGCCUAAUACAUGCAAGUCGAACGGUCUUUCUAUGGAAGCUUGCUUCCACUGAGAAGAUAGUGGCGAACGGGUGAGUAACACGUGGGUAACCUGCCCAUAAGAGGGGGAUAACAUCCGGAAACGGGUGCUAAUACCGCAUAGUUUUCUUGAUCGCAUGAUUGAGAAAGGAAAGACGGCCUUUGUGCUGUCGCUUAUGGAUGGACCCGCGGCGUAUUAGUUAGUUGGUGAGGUAACGGCUCACCAAGACGAUGAUACGUAGCCGACCUGAGAGGGUGAUCGGCCACAUUGGGACUGAGACACGGCCCAAACUCCUACGGGAGGCAGCAGUAGGGAAUCUUCCGCAAUGGACGAAAGUCUGACGGAGCAACGCCGCGUGAGUGAAGAAAGGUUUUCGGAUCGUAAAACUCUGUUGUCAGAGAAGAACAAGUUGGAGAGUAACUGCUCCAGCCUUGACGGUAUCUGACCAGAAAGCCACGGCUAACUACGUGCCAGCCGCUGC